AUCCAGUUAGCUCAGUUGGUAGAGCAUGAGACUCUUAGACUGCCUGCACAUAAUAUGUUUAAAGCAUGUCCCUCCCUACUGAAUCCUGGGAACUGUAGUUGGUUAAGGGUGCUGGGAAUUGUAGCUGUGUGAAGUGCAAACUACAGUUCCCAGGAAUCUUUGGGAGGUGUUCUUUAAAUGUAUGGUGUGUUCACAGCGUCAAUCUCAAGGUCAUGGGUUCGAGACCCACCUUGGGCA